GACAGAGGGUGCAAACGUUGUUCGGAUUUACUGGGCGUAAAGCGCGUGUAGGCGGCUUGGCAAGUCGGAUGUGAAAGCCCACGGCUCAACCGUGGAAGCGCAUCCGAAACUGCUGAGCUUGAGUACUUAAGAGGAUCGCGGAAUUCCCGGUGUAGAGGUGAAAUUCGUAGAUAUCGGGAGGAACACCAGUGGCGAAGGCGGCGAUCUGGGAAGAUACUGACGCUGAGGUGCGAAAGCGUGGGGAGCAAACAGG
rnacentral:rRNA from 1 species